AGCCACCCGCCUGCCAGCGCCGCCCAGCCCGCUCGGCUAACUAGGCAUUUGCCCUGGGCAUUUGGGGGCGGCAUUUUUUGCCGCCCCCUGAAAAAUGCCGCCCAAGGCAAAUGCCUUGUUUGCCUCGUGGCUAAUACGUCCCUGCAUAUAUACCUAGACACACAUUCACACAAUCAGUCACAGUGGUGAAACUACCACUGGUGCAGCCAGUGCAGCUGUACAGGGGCCCAUAUGCUACUG